rnacentral:rRNA from 1 species
AACGAACGCUGGCGGCAUGCCUAACACAUGCAAGUCGAACGAGACCUUCGGGUCUAGUGGCUCACGGGUGCGUAACGCGUGGGAACCUGCCUUUAGGUUCGGAAUAACUCAGAGAAAUUUGAGCUAAUACCGGAUGAUGUCUUCGGACCACAGAUUUAUCGCCUUUAGAUGGGCCCGCGUUGGAUUAGCUAGUUGGUGUGGUAAAGGCCUACCAAGGCGACGAUCCAUAGCUGGUCUGAGAGGAUGAUCAGCCACACUGGGACUGAGACACGGCCCAGACUCCUACGGGAGGCAGCAGUGGGGAAUAUUGGACAAUGGGCGAAAGCCUGAUCCAGCAAUGCCGCGUGAGUGAUGAAGGCCUUAGGGUUGUAAAGCUCUUUUACCCGAGAUGAUAAUGACAGUAUCGGGAGAAUAAGCUCCGGCUAACUCCGUG